UAUCUAUGUGGGGUUUCCCCAUAUUCUUGAAAUUCUUCGCUUUAGAACUUGGUUAUACUGAAUUAUGCUAUGAUGCUAUUAUCCAAAAUUGAAGCAGUUAUUCAAAGAUAUCCUUUAAGGAAGAUAUGAUGCUCGUCAUUAGUGGUUGUCUGAAUGUGCUCUUAUGUGAUGUCUUCAUCUGCACUCUUUACUUUAGAUUUCUGUGCGUUGCUAUUUCUAAGAAUUAUAAAUCUUACAACUUUUAUCUUCCACGACUUGAGAUUGUGUGCUAUUUAGCAAUAAAGGGUGUGGCCUAAUGUUUAAUCAACAGGAGACAAAAAUACUAAGUAAUUUCUUCCCAUCUAUCCAUGCCUUGGUGAAAAAAGUUAGUGGGUUACCUCUACUGAUAGAAGGUACCCCAUGAAGUUAGUCAAGAUGCGUACAAAUUGACCGGGAUACCAUGGUUAUUUAAAAAAAAAAAAGAGAGAUUAUGUGACUAUAUACUUUUCUUUUAUUGAUAAGGAGUUGUUGAAAAUAUACUGAAAAAAAGAUCAUUAGCUAUCUGAGAAAAUAACUGUUUCACAUAUAUAUGACUUAGAAUUCCUCAACUAGGUAUUGUAGUUCUGAGUUUUUCAUUUGCAAAGUUUUCAAUUGACUUCCUUUAUGAUGUCUUUUUUAUACAAUUUUGUCCUAAGCCGGGUGUCCAUCGGAAAUAGCCUCUCACUUCAUUCUAAGAUAGUGGUAUAGACUUCGUACACUUACCCUCCUCAAACCCCAUUUGUAGGAAUGUACUGGUCUGUUGUAAAGUUUUCAAUUGCUUUAAAACUACUAAUAUUUACUGGUGAACUGAUUAUGUUAUUCCAAUGGUUAUGAAUGCUUUCGGCAUUCAAACAUUAUCUUGAAGAUGAAAAAUUGUGGGGACAAAAAACAAAAUAUUUUACGCAUGAAUGUGUUCAAUCCUUUUCUUAAUAACAAUGAUAAUUAUAUUAAUAGUGGAAAAAUCAUGUGUGCAAGAAGUAUACCAUAGAGAAUCUACGGCAUAAUAUGAUUGUCUAUGUUCGGAAAAUGACACCCAGUCUUCUAAGACUUCUAUCUAUACAAACAGGAAUUUAGUAGGUGCACAAAAAAGAAACUUGGAAUGAUAGGCUAUUCCUCAGAUAUACAUGUUUUUUCUAUAUCUUUAAAAAUUCUCCUAUUUCUUUCCUUUUAUAGGACUCACACGAGUGCCAAGGUUGAGACAUCCCUAGCUCUUCAACUUCUCUUCCUUCUUCCGAGCCUCCUUCACUGUGUUGGACAUUGUUCAUUGCAGCCUGAACUAUCUCAAAAUCUUACAGCACAAGUAGGUUGUCACCUGCAAUGUAAAAGGAGGUGGUCAUAUUCACAUGAAGCACUAGUCGACAUAUAUAAUGCUUCUUUUUCUCAAAUUUUCAGCUGUCAGGUUUUGCUAGACGAGUAAAAUAGCAUGCUUUACACACUGAGAAAUGUGAGUAGUUCGAUUUCGUCCCUCAUCAAGAGUUGAUGAUAAUAUGACUGUACUAAAAUGAUCACCAAGGCUGAGCUACAGUUUCCUUUUCCACUUUGCAGAAUGUUUCCGAGUUGAAUUUAAAUUGAUCUACUUGUGCAAUGGGUUUUUUAUCAUGGACUACGUGGUUACUCAUAUCAUCUAGAGAACUUAGACACUCUCUUGUGAAGCUAAUUUUAUCACUUUCAGGAUAUGACCUCUGGGAAUUACAGAAGAAGGUCAAUUCUGAUGAAUAAGUUCCCAGUGCACCUCCAUUUUGCUGUCCUGCUGCUGAAAUCACAGAAGUUGACGAACGGAUCCCUGCCUCUAGAGCAGCUAAUUGCAAUCUAUGGCAGAAGAUAGUGGUCUCUCAACUAAGGCAGAUAUUAACAUUUCUUCUGGCAUAACCCACCAGGAUGACUGUUGCUGAAAGUGGAGGGCGUCAGGUUCUUUUCCCGCUCGCGUUCCAACCUUUCAUGCCAGUGCAUUGGACCCGUGGCAUCGCAUGCUCGCGUAUGAUGCGCGUGUUCGGCUUUGCCUACAUGCUUGGGCUAUGGGUUGCGUAGAAGCUUCAAUGUUUGUAAAGUGAAUGUGCUCUCUUAAGGAAUUCAUUUAGAUCAGUCUUUUCUCCUGUUCCAUGCUAUUGAGCAGUUGUUGUGAUCUUUUUUGACUUUAGUGUCAUUUUGAGAAGAAAUCUAUAACAAACACCGAAAGUUAUCGGUUUAAAAAUAGAAGUCUAUAACAAACACUGAUAUGACUUGUAGCAUCCCAUCUUUUUCUUACAUUUAGUCUUGCAGAGAUGAUAGUUUUAGCUUUUUCUUGCUCCAUCUCGCGGUGUUACAAUUAUUCUUAUUCUACAUGCAAAGAAGCUUUCUGGAGUCUUAUUUACCUCUCAAGGAACCAGCUGGGUAAUUUACAAAUGCUUGUUGAUCACAAGUAUGAGUUCAUAUUUUAGAAAAAUAGAACUUGAAUGCUUGGGUAUGUUGUUGUUGUUGAAUGUUCAUACAUUUUAUUUGUCUAACUUCUGUUUUAUCCCAAUUUUUUUUAACGAAUGUUUGAACGUCUUUGUCGCUUGUCAACAACGUGUGA